rnacentral:rRNA from 1 species
AACGAACGCUGGCGGCAGGCUUAACACAUGCAAGUCGAACGGGUGUAGCAAUACAUCAGUGGCGCACGGGUGAGUAACGCGUGGGAAUAUGCCCUUUGGUACGGAACAACCUCGGGAAACUGAGGCUAAUACCGUAUAAUAUCUGCGGAUCAAAGAUUUAUCGCCAAAGGAUUAGCCCGCGUUGGAUUAGGUAGUUGGUGAGGUAACGGCUCACCAAGCCGACGAUCCAUAGCUGGUCUGAGAGGAUGAUCAGCCACACUGGGACUGAGACACGGCCCAGACUCCUACGGGAGGCAGCAGUGAGGAAUAUUGGACAAUGGAGGAAACUCUGAUCCAGCCAUGCCGCGUGAGUGAUGAAGGCCUUCGGGUUGUAAAGCUCUUUUACCCCUGACGAUAAUGACGGUAAGGGGAGAAAAAGCCACGGCUAACUUCGUGCCAGCAGCCGCGGUAA